rnacentral:lncRNA from 1 species
CCUCACUCUCUUCUGCUGUCCUGGGACCUCGUGGGCCUCCUCCCGGGUCCCCUUCCUGCUCCUCAUCCUCUGUUUGGCCGUCUGGUUGUUAGAGCUCUCCCCAGGCCUCAGGAGGAUGACGAAUAAAUGAACCACCUCCGUCCCCUGGGCUCCUCUUCAUUCAUUCAUCCAGCGAGUGUUCCCAGGGAGCUCACUGUGGAUGGGGCUCCCCAUGGGAGCUGCAGACACAGCAGGGAGCAAAGCCGCCCCCGCCUCCUGAGCUCACCUCACGGUGGGAGACAAAAUGCAAAUAAAUGCAUCGUGUCCAGGAGUGCAACGUGCUGUAAGGAACAUACACCAGGG